rnacentral:rRNA from 1 species
AGGCUGAAGACUUUUGCCGGAUUUAGCUGAGAGGUGGUGCAUGGCCGUCGUCAGUUUCGUACUGUGAAGCAUCCUGUUAAGUCAGGCAGCGAGCGAGACCCACGCCCACAGUUGCCAGCGUACUCUCUGGAGUGACGGGUACACUGUGGGACCGCCGCUGCUAAAGCGGAGGAAGGAAUGGGCAACGGUAGGUCAGUAUGCCCCGAAUAUCCCGGGCUACACGCGAGCUACAAUGGUUGGUACAAUGGGUAUCUACCCCGAAAGGGGACGGGAAUCUCCUAAAACCAAUCUUAGUUCGGAUUGAGGGCUGCAACUCGCCCUCAUGAAGCUGGAAUCCGUAGUAAUCGCGUUUCAACAGAACGCGGUGAAUACGUCCCUGCUCCUU